CGGACGGGUGAGUAAUGUCUGGGAAACUGCCCGAUGGAGGGGGAUAACUACUGGAAACGGUAGCUAAUACCGCAUAACGUCGCAAGACCAAAGAGGGGGACCUUAGGGCCUCUUGCCAUCGGAUGUGCCCAGAUGGGAUUAGCUAGUAGGUGGGGUAAUGGCUCACCUAGGCGACGAUCCCUAGCUGGUCUGAGAGGAUGACCAGCCGCACUGGAACUGAGACACGGUCCAG
rnacentral:rRNA from 1 species